GUUCACUCGCGCGCUGAAUCGUUUGGCGCGGUUUUGAAACAACUACUUAUAUCACAAUGUAAAACGGUUAAAAGAAACUUCAGAAACGAGAGAACAAAGUGCGUGCUGAACGAAGUGGAUAUUUACCCAAACCAUUGAAAAUAAAGCUGGAAAUGUGACGAAGAAGGUUUAUUUCAACAAGAUCAACGACUCGUAGGAGGCUUGAGAGCGGGAUUAUGUUUACUUUGGAUUUCUUGGGAAUCGAUACAAACUCGGAACUGCUGAUGAUUUAAAGCAAAAGCAACAUCGGUGGUGCAAUGUUCAACUUUAUUAUGCAAAUAUGGAUCAACGUGAGGCAGUGACUACCAAUGGCCGAUCAGUUUGAGCUCCUCUUUAAAGCUGUUUGGACUCUCUGACGGCACCCAUUCACCGCAGAGGAUCCUUUGGUGAGCAAGUGAUGUGAUGCUUCUCCAAAUCAGUUCUGAUGAAGAAACAAACGUAUUUAUAUCUUGGAUGGUCUGAGGGGAUUUUCCCCCUGAUCUACAACAGAAGGUGUGAAAUGGGAGAGAUGGGGGAGAAAGAUAUUGUGGUGUGAUGAUGCUAUAACCAGAUUACAGGCUCUUCUGUGCUUCCCCUCACGAUUUUGGCCGACAAAAGUCAUUGUGAAGACCGGCUGGAAGAGGAAUGCUAAUACUCACUAUCGCUGGGAGGUGCAGAUCCUGGUCCUCUUGGAAUUGGCAGUCAUAUUCCACUUUGUUAUGCCAGUCGUGUGUCUCCACGGAUGGAGUUACUGUUGUUUGUGUGGAAGCGCCACAAGCCUCCAUAUCACCUGCUAAUCGCGUCAUUAAAACUGUAUUUAAGGGAGGACACGGCGAGACCGCUGAACAGAUAAAUCACACACUCCAUUCCAACGCGCCUGAAAUGAGUUUGGCAUUUUCCAUCUCAUUUUAUGAUUGGAGCGUACGGUUCAAGACAGCGCAUGAGUUUGCCAAGUCUGCAAUGCAAAACGCUUGUGAUGUGCCAGUGCUUCAUGAUUAGUUAACCUUUUUCACAUUUCAAAAUGCUCUUGACUUUUACA